UGCCAGGCCAUUACCUUAGGCGGACGAUUGCAUUUCUGUAGUUUCUGUUGAUGCCAUCUAACAUAUUAAACUAUAACCUCUGAUUACUUCAACUCAACAGGCUGAUGGGUUACUACAUACUACCUGUGGGACACCGAACUAUGUUGCUCCUGAGGUUAUUGAAGAUAAGGGCUAUGAUGGUGCGUUUGCAGACCUUUGGUCUUGUGGGGUAAUUCUUUUUGUGAUGCUUGCUGGAUACCUGCCUUUUGAGGAUGACAACGUCUCAGCCCUUUAUAAAAAGAUCUUUGGAGCUCAUUUUACUUGUCCCUCUUGGUUUUCUGAUGGAGCUAAAAGACUGAUUCCCAGGAUUCUGGAUCCUAAUCCAUCAACUCGUAUAACUAUCCCUCAACUAUUAAAAGAUCCAUGGUUCAAAAAAGGGUACAAGAAGGGAGUCGGCGAGGCGGCCGUAGUGGAUGUCGUCGAGGAGGUCGUAGGCGUCGUGGGUAACUUACACAGAAGGUCAGAAACCAAUUCAAAUGGUUUCAGUACAGCUGUACAACCAGCUGCUAGAAAAGGAAAUUACCUUCUAUAUAGCUAUCAGGUUCAGGAAAGGAUAUUUCAGUGUGAAAUUGUGUGAUACAUGCAUAGUAUUUUCACUCUGUUCAAAUGGCAUCCGGAGGAAUUCCUGGUGAUUUAAAUUUAACUGUUAGACCGAAGAUGAAUGAGAUGUUGAUGUUCCUAGUCAUA